rfam:Felis catus isolate Cinnamon breed Abyssinian chromosome A1, whole genome shotgun sequence.
GCCUGGGUGGCUUAAUUGGUUAAGCACCGGACUUCAGCUCAGGUCAUGAUCUCAUGGUUCAUGGGUUUAAGCCCCACAUCGGGCU